rnacentral:lncRNA from 1 species
ACCCCGUCCAGUUUCAUCUUGAGGCCUCUCGAAAGUGCUUUUGUUUUGAAUUUGUUUUGUUGUUUUGUAUCUGUUCAGGUUCCAAGAGGAAAAAGCAGCGUUUGAGCAGAGUUUGGCCCAAAAAUGUGAAGUCUCUCUGGCAGAGCUAAAGCAAAAACAUCAAACUGAGCUGGAACAUGAGAGGGCAACACUACUGAACAAACUCUCCCAAGAGAAGGACACACUCUAUGCCAAACACAAAGCACAACAAGAUUCACUCGGUGCCAGUCACAGAGAUCAGCUUGCAGCCGCGACCGUGGAGUUUGAAUCCAAACACAACGGCGAGCUUGUCGCCUUGGAAGCAUCCUUCGAUUCCAAAAGAAAGGCAGACCUUGAAAGUCUGGAGGCCGUUUUUCAGGAGACCAAUCAGGCUCAGCUGGAGGCUUUAGAAGCGGAGUUAUCUCGCAAACACCAGGAAGAGCGGGAUGAACUGGAAAAGAGGAUGCUGGGUAAUAUGGACACUUUGGAGGCCACAUACCUGAAAGAAGUGCAAGUAAGGACACGGACUUUGUAAAUGUCAAGCAUUAUGUUGGCAAUGUUUGAAAUUCUUGACAAUACUGCCAUUGUUUAGCUUUUCUCACUUUGUAAGUCUUUUUAAAAUGCCAUUGUCUUUUCUUUUCUUUUUUUAAACCUCAGACACUGCGGGAUGAAAUGGUGCAACUUGAAGAGAGACAUCUUCAAAACCUGAAUCUCCAGAAGUUGAAACGUAAGCAGACAAAGGAGCGCCAUGCCGCGGAGCAGCUGUCCAUCAGGGAGGACCUGAGGAAAGAGCUGGCUCAGAUGCACAUGGAGAAGUUUAGUGCCAUGGCAGCAGAGCUCAGCCACGUUCACAAGACUGAGCUUGCUGCUCAAAAAGAGGCCUUGGAUACUGAACACUGCAAAACACUGGAGACUCUUAAGAAGCAGGUACUGACCCAGUCAUCCCUACAUCACUUUGGUGUCUUCUCGUGAGGACAAUGAUUUUAAAGUCUACAGUACCAGUCAAAGGUUUGGACACACAUUCUCAUUCAAUGUGCAUGUCGUGUCCAAACAUUUGACUGGUACUGUACAUGCAGAAUUUCUUAUUUUAAAUGAUCUGAAACAAAAUCCAAUAUCUUGUCACAGCAACACGGUGGUUUCCACUUA